rnacentral:rRNA from 1 species
UACGUAGGGUGCAAGCGUUGUCCGGAAUUAUUGGGCGUAAAGAGCUCGUAGGCGGUCUGUCGCGUCGGCUGUGAAAACUCGGGGCUCAACUCCGAGCUUGCAGUCGAUACGGGCAGGCUAGAGUUCGGCAGGGGAGACUGGAAUUCCUGGUGUAGCAGUGAAAUGCGCAGAUAUCAGGAGGAACACCGGUGGCGAAGGCGGGUCUCUGGGCCGAUACUGACGCUGAGGAGCGAAAGCGUGGGGAGCGAACAGG